GAAUUAUCAAAGUUAACUGGGAGAAUAAAUAAAUCUUCAUGUGAAUUGAACUACAAGUAACUCCUAUGCUGAUUAAUGUAAUUGCAACACAUCUUUAAGUGGGAAGUCAGAAUUCAUAUGCAUCAUUGUGGAGAAGCUUACAGCUGAUCCUGGCUGUACUGUUCCUGUUUCAGUUAGUGCUUUUGGUCCUUAACCUUCAUCACACCAAAAUCACUCUCACAAAAUAAAAUCUAGAAAUUAAAAAAAAAAAAA